CUGGGGAGCACAGGUGUCUUACUGCCUUCCAAACUACAGCACAAGGGCCAUAUUCUGGGGAAGCUGCUGUCUUUUGGAAUUGCAUGAUUCAGACAUCGAAGCAGCUCCACCUUUUCUGAAGGUCUCUCUGAAGAAAAUAUUGGCUGACACUGGUCAGUACACUUCUGAACAACACUCCUCAUCAUGCCAAAAGCACUUUUUCUGCAGUCAGCUGUACAGAACUACUGAAGAUUUAUUAGAACUGGAUUUUCUUCUAAUGAAAACACUAACCUAAGUAGCAUCAUACGUUAUAUUCAAAUGUAACACAGAGGUGAAUUCAUUUUCCACAUCUUGUAUAACAAUU